rnacentral:rRNA from 1 species
CCUUCUCUACCAGCAUCGGGAGUACCCGCAGAUGCUCGAGCUGGCGCGGCGGAUCUUCGGCACGGGUCGCAUCCGUCCCAAGCCCGGCGACGACCGGGUAUGGGAGUUUGCGAUCACGAGCCGGCGGAGCCUGGCGGAAAAGGUGGUGCCCUUCCUGCGCAAGUACAUGGUGUACUCUCCCCGGCGCGAGAUCUACGAGCGAUUCUGCGCUAUCGUGGAGGCCAUGGAACGCAAGGAGCACCGCACGCCGGACGGGUUGGCGCGUAUCGUCGAGCAGGCGUACGCGUUGAACCCCGCUGCCAAGGGCACGGCCCGGAAGCGGGCCGUGUCGGCGGUAGUAGGCAGAAUCCUCAGAGACUAUACGCCGGACCCGCGAUCAGGCGGGAAGAGAUAGUCCGUCCUGCAUGGCGACAUGCAGAUUAACACCGAGCCUAAGGUAGCGAAAUUCCUUGUCGGGUAAGUUCCGACCUGCACGAAUGGCGUAACGAGCUGAGCGCUGUCUCGACGAGAGACUCGGCGAAGUUGUGCGGCCUGUGAAGACACAGGCUACCCGCAGCUGGACGGAAAGACCCCGUGAAGCUUUACUGCAGCUUGUCAUUGGAUUUGGUCUUACCAUGCAGAGGAUAGGUGGGAGGCUGAGAAGCCGGGGCUCCGGCCUCGGUGGAGCCGCCCUUGGAAUACCACCCUUGGCAAGGCUAAGUCCUAACCGGGGACCUCACCGGUUUCCGGGACAGUGGCAGGUGGGCAGUUUGACUGGGGCGGUCGCCUCCUAAACGGUAACGGAGGCGCCCAAAGGUCCCCUCAGCACGGUUGGAAACCGUGCGGCGAGUGUAAGGGCAUAAGGGGGCUUGACUGUGAGGCCGACAAGCCGAGCAGGGACGAAAGUCGGGCCUAGUGAUCCUACGGCGGCAAGUGGAAGCGCCGUGGCUUAACGGAUAAAAGCUACUCCGGGGAUAACAGGCUGAUCUCCCCCAAUAGUCCACAUAGACGGGGAGGUUUGGCACCUCGAUGUCGGCUCAUCGCAUCCUGGGGCUGCAGUAGGUCCCAAGGGUUGGGCUGUUCGCCCAUUAAAGCGGUACGUGAGCUGGGUUCAGAACGUCGUGAGACAGUUCGGUCCCUAUCCACUGCGGGCGCAGGUGGCUUGAGGGGAGCUGCUCCUAGUACGAGAGGACCGGAGUGGACGGACCUCUGGCGUACCGGUUGUCCUGCCAAGGGCACGCGCCGGGUACCUAUGUCCGGACGGGAUAAGCGCUGAAAGCAUCUAAGCGCGAAGCCCACCCCAAGAUGAGGCCACCCACCGGGUCAACCGGGUAAGCCCCCAGGAAGACGACCUGGUUGAUAGGCCGGAGGUGUAAGCGCCGCAAGGCGUUGAGCUGACCGGUACUAAUCGGGCGAGGGCUUGAUCAC